GGGCCCAUAGCUCAGCCGGUAGAGCAACUGACUUUUAAUCAGUAGGUCCCGCGUUCGAACCGCGGUGGGCUCACCA
rnacentral:tRNA from 1 species